UACGUAGGGUGCGAGCGUUGUCCGGAAUUAUUGGGCGUAAAGAGCUCGUAGGCGGUUUGUCGCGUCGACUGUGAAAACCCGAGGCUUAACCUCGGGCCUGCAGUCGAUACGGGCAAACUAGAGUUCGGUAGGGGAGACUGGAAUUCCUGGUGUAGCGGUGAAAUGCGCAGAUAUCAGGAGGAACACCGGUGGCGAAGGCGGGUCUCUGGGCCGAUACUGACGCUGAGGAGCGAAAGCGUGGGGAGCAAACAGG
rnacentral:rRNA from 1 species